rnacentral:rRNA from 1 species
AGUGAACGCUGGCGGUAGGCCUAACACAUGCAAGUCGAACGGCAGCACAGUAAGAGCUUGCUCUUACGGGUGGCGAGUGGCGGACGGGUGAGGAAUACAUCGGAAUCUUCUUUUUCGUGGGGGAUAACGUAGGGAAACUUACGCUAAUACCGCAUACGACCUACGGGUGAAAGCAGGGGAUCUUCGGACCUUGCGCGAUUGAAUGAGCCGAUGUCGGAUUAGCUAGUUGGCGGGGUAAAGGCCCACCAAGGCGACGAUCCGUAGCUGGUCUGAGAGGAUGAUCAGCCACACUGGAACUGAGACACGGUCCAGACUCCUACGGGAGGCAGCAGUGGGGAAUAUUGGACAAAGGGCGCAAGCCUGAUCCAGCCAUACCGCGUGGGUGAAGAAGGCCUUCGGGUUGUAAAGCCCUUUUGUUGGGAAAGAAAAGCAGCAGGUUAAUACCCCGCUGUUCUGACGGUACCCAAAGAAUAAGCACCGGCUAACUUCGUG